UUCGGGGAACCUGGAGACAGGUGCUGCAUGGCUGUCGUCAGGCUCGUGUCGUGAGACUGUAGGGUUAAGUCCCGCAACGAGCGCAACCCUUGUCUUUAAUUGCCAUCAUUGAGUUGGGCACUUUAAAGAGACUGCCGGUGUUAAACCGGAGGAAGGUGGGGAUGACGUCAAGUCCUCAUGGCCCUUAUGUCCAGGGCUACACACGUGCUACAAUGGCCGGUACAAAGGGCUGCAAGACCGUGAGGUUGAGCGAAUCCCAGAAAGCCGGUCUCAGUUCGGAUUGGAGUCUGCAACUCGACUCCAUGAAGUUGGAAUCGCUAGUAAUCGCGGGAUCAGCAUGCCGCGGUGAAUACGGUUCCCGGGCCUU
rnacentral:rRNA from 1 species